GGGGGUGUAAUGGUGUCGACUUAGAAAUAAGGCACUCGCCGCAUGCGGAGGACGUCAGUUGGCCUCCUAAAAAAUCUGGCAAACCACAAAUGACGAAACUAACGUCGUAGCUCUAGUUCAGCCUGAAGAGGUUGUUUUGGAGAAUGCAGCUUAAGACCUAACCGUCUAAGCAGCUCGGUGACCUAGUAGCUUGACCAGGAGCGCUAGAAUCACCGUCAUCUUGCCUGGUGUGGACCUUGUUUUCGUUUCCUAGAACAAGAAUUCGAGACUAAUAGGGAUCAGAUUGGUUCCAAGUGGGGCACCUCCCAUCAGAGCCAAUACUUAUACCAGAGGUGCUAAGCAUGUAGACGUGAUUGAUACUGUUUCCUAAGGACGAGAGUUCGAUUCUCUCCACCUCCA
rnacentral:tmRNA from 1 species